rnacentral:rRNA from 1 species
ACUUUCAACAACGGAUCUCUUGGUUCUCGCAUCGAUGAAGAGCGCAGCGAAAUGCGAUACCUAGUGUGAAUUGCAGCCAUCGUGAAUCAUCGAGUUCUUGAACGCACAUUGCGCCCCCUGGUAUUCCGGGGGGCAUGCCUGUUUGAGCGUCGUU